GUGGGGAAUAUUGCACAAUGGGCGAAAGCCUGAUGCAGCAACGCCGCGUGAGGGACGACGGCCUUCGGGUUGUAAACCUCUUUUAGUAGGGAAGAAGCGAAAGUGACGGUACCUGCAGAAAAAGCACCGGCUAACUACGUGCCAGCAGCCGCGGUAAUACGUAGGGUGCAAGCGUUAUCCGGAAUUAUUGGGCGUAAAGAGCUCGUAGGCGGUCUGUCGCGUCUGCUGUGAAAACUGGAGGCUCAACCUCCAGCCUGCAGUGGGUACGGGCAGACUAGAGUGCGGUAGGGGAGAUUGGAAUUCCUGGUGUAGCGGUGGAAUGCGCAGAUAUCAGGAGGAACACCGAUGGCGAAGGCAGAUCUCUGGGCCGUAACUGACGCUGAGGAGCGAAAGCGUGGGGAGCGAACAGGAUUAGAAACCCCAGUAGUCC
rnacentral:rRNA from 1 species